rnacentral:rRNA from 1 species
AGUGAACGCUGGCGGUAGGCCUAACACAUGCAAGUCGAACGGCAGCACAGUAAGAGCUUGCUCUUCCGGGAGGCGAGUGGCGGACGGGUGAGGAAUACAUCGGCAUCUACUUUUUCGUGGGGGAUAACGUAGGGAAACUUACGCUAAUACCGCAUACGACCUACGGGUGAAAGCAGAGGAUCUUCGGACCUUGCGCGACUGAAUGAGCCGCUGUCGGAUUAGCUAGUUGGCGGGGUAAAGGCCCACCAAGGCGACGAUCCGUAGCUGGUCUGAGAGGAUGAUCAGCCGCACUGGAACUGGGACACGGUCCAGAGUCCUACGGGAGGCAGCAGUGGGGAAUAUUGGACAAUGGGCGCAAGCCUGAUCCAGCCAGACCGCGUGGGUGAAGAAGGCCUUCGGGUUGUAAAGCCCUUUUGUUGGGAAAGAAAAGCAGCAGGUUAAUACCCCGCUGUUCUGACGGUACCCAAAGAAUAAGCACCGGCUAACUUCGUG